rnacentral:rRNA from 1 species
AAUGAACGCUGGCGGCAUGCCUAACACAUGCAAGUCGAACGAAGGCUUCGGCCUUAGUGGCGCACGGGUGCGUAACGCGUGGGAAUCUGCCCUCAGGUUCGGAAUAACAGCGAGAAAUUGCUGCUAAUACCGGAUGAUAUCGCGAGAUCAAAGAUUUAUCGCCUGAGGAUGAGCCCGCGUAGGAUUAGCUAGGUGGUGUGGGAAAGGCGCACCAAGGCGACGAUACUUAGCUGGUCUGAAAGGAUGAUCAGCCACACUGGGACUGAGACACGGCCCAGACUCCUACGGGAGGCGGCAGUGGGGAAUAUUGGACAAUGGGCGAAAGCCUGAUCCAGCAAUGCCGCGUGAGUGAUGAAGGCCUUAGGGUUGUAAAGCUCUUUUACCCGGGAUGAUAAUGACAGUACCGGGAGAAUAAGCUCCGGCUAACUCCGUGCCAGCCGCCGCGGUAA